rnacentral:rRNA from 1 species
CAGCCGCCGCGGUAAAACGAAGGGUGCAAGCGUUACUCGGAAUUACUGGGCGUAAAGCGUGCGUAGGUGGUGGUUUAAGUCCGUUGUGAAAGCCCUGGGCUCAACCUGGGAAUUGCAGUGGAUACUGGGUCACUAGAGUGUGGUAGAGGAUAGUGGAAUUUCCGGUGUAGCAGUGAAAUGCGUAGAGAUCGGAAGGAACAUCUGUGGCGAAGGCGACUAUCUGGGCCAACACUGACACUGAGGCACGAAAGCGUGGGGAUCAAACAGGAUUAGAUACCCCCGUAGUCCCUGUCUCUUAUAC